rnacentral:rRNA from 1 species
GACAGAGGGUGCAAACGUUGUUCGGAAUUACUGGGCGUAAGCGCGUGUAGGCGGCUCGGAAAGUCGGGUGUGAAAGCCCUGGGCUCAACCUAGGAAGUGCACUCGAAACUUCCGAGCUGGAGUUCUGGAGAGGAAGGCGGAAUUCUCGGUGUAGAGGUGAAAUUCGUAGAUAUCGAGAGGAACACCGGUGGCGAAGGCGGCCUUCUGGACAGCAACUGACGCUGAGACGCGAAAGCGUGGGGAGCAAACAGG